rnacentral:rRNA from 1 species
GACGAACGCUGGCGGCGUGCUUAACACAUGCAAGUCGAACGGAAAGGCCCUGCUUUUGUGUGGUGUUCGAGUGGCGAACGGGUGAGUAACACGGGAGUCUCCUGCGCUUGACUUUGUGAUAACCUCAGGCAACUGCGGCUACUACAUGAUAGGAGCUCCUGCUGCAUGGUGGUGGUUGGAAAGCUUCCGCUGAUGUGGAUGGACUCGCGGCUUACCAGCUUGUUGGGGGGGUAGUGGCUUACCAGUGCUUGGACGGGUAGACGGCAUGGGAGGUGAACCGGCGACAUGGGGACUGCGGGAGGGCGCAGACGCGUACGGUAGGCAGCAGGGGGGAAUAUGGCACAGUGGGCGGAAGCCUGAUGCAGCAGCGCCGCGUGCGGGAAGACGGCCUUCGUGGUGUAAACCGCUUUCGCCUGUGACGAAGCUUGAGUGACGGUAAUGGGUGAAGAAGCACCGGCUAACUACGUG